rfam:Zea mays cultivar B73 chromosome 2, whole genome shotgun sequence.
AUACCUUUCUCGGCCUUUUGGCUAAGAUCAAGUGUAGUAUCUGUUCUUAUCAGUUUAAUAUCUGAUAUGUGAACCAUGUGUUCAUUUCGAUAUUAAAUUUAUUUUUUACGGGGGAGAACCCAUCAUAAUAGCUUGCUAUUGGGGUCCUUGAGUGUCGCUCGGACGUUGCACUGCUGCCCGAGCAUGGCGCACCCCAG